rnacentral:tRNA from 1 species
GCCCGGAUAGCUCAGUCGGUAGAGCAUCAGACUUUUAAUCUGAGGGUCC